rnacentral:rRNA from 1 species
CCUACGGGAGGCAGCAGUAGGGAAUCUUCCGCAAUGGACGAAAGUCUGACGAGCAACGCCGCGUGAACGAUGAAGGCCUUCGGGUCGUAAAGUUCUGUUGUUAGGGAAGAACAAGUGCUAGUUGAAUAAGCUGGCACCUUGACGGUACCUAACCAGAAAGCCACGGCUAACUACGUGCCAGCAGCCGCGGUAAUACGUAGGUGGCAAGCGUUGUCCGGAAUUAUUGGGCGUAAAGCGCGCGCAGGCGGUUUCUUAAGUCUGAUGUGAAAGCCCCCGGCUCAACCGGGGAGGGUCAUUGGAAACUGGGAAACUUGAGUGCAGAAGAGGAAAGUGGAAUUCCAAGUGUAGCGGUGAAAUGCGUAGAGAUUUGGAGGAACACCAGUGGCGAAGGCGACUUUCUGGUCUGUAACUGACGCUGAGGCGCGAAAGCGUGGGGAGCAAACAGGAUUAGAUACCCUGGUAGUCCACGCUGUAAAACGAUGAGUGNUAGUAGUUAGUAGGGUUUACCGGUCCCGUUUACGUUGUCGUGUAAGUUAACGUACUAUUAAGUACACUCCGCCGUCGGGGAGGUACGGUCGGUCGAGACGUAGAACGUACAAGUAGAGUUAGUACGGCGUGAGACGUCGCCGACGGACGACGACGAGGGAGGUUAGG